rnacentral:rRNA from 1 species
UACAGAGGGUGCGAGCGUUAAUCGGAAUUACUGGGCGUAAAGCGUGCGUAGACGGUUAUAUAAGUCGGGUGUGAAAGCCCCGGGCUCAACCUGGGAAUUGCAUUCGAGACUGCAUAGCUAGGGUGCGGAAGAGGGAAGCGGAAUUUCCGGUGUAGCGGUGAAAUGCGUAGAUAUGACAUAGAACACCAAUUGCGAAGGCAGCUUACUACACAGUCAUUGACACUGAGGCACGAAAGCGUGGGGAUCAAACAGG